rnacentral:rRNA from 1 species
GCGAGUGAAGCGGCAAAAGCUCAAAUUUGAAACCCUCGGGAUUGUAAUUUGAAGAUUUGGCAUUGGAGAAAGCUAACCCAAGUUGCUUGGAAUAGUACGUCAUAGAGGGUGACAACCCCGUCUGGCUAACCGUUCUCCAUGUAUUGCCUUAUCAAAGAGUCGAGUUGUUUGGGAAUGCAGCUCAAAGUGGGUGGUAAACUCCAUCUAAAGCUAAAUACUGGUGAGAGACCGAUAGCGAACAAGUACUGUGAAGGAAAGGUGAAAAGAACUUUGAAAAGAGAGUGAAAUAGUAUGUGAAAUUGUUGAUAGGGAAGGAAAUGAGUGGAGAGUGGCCGAGGUUUCAGCCGCCCCUCGUGGGCGGUGUACUGCCGACGCCGAGUCAUCGAUAGCGAGACGAGGGUUACAAAUGGGAGCGCCUUUCGGGCGUUCUCCCCUAACCCUCCACACUGCCACCGACGACAUAAUCCACCCAUUUCACCCGUCUUGAAACACGGACC